rnacentral:rRNA from 1 species
UACGGAGGAGGCAAGCGUUAUCCGGAAUUAUUGGGCGUAAAGCGUCCGUAGGUGGUUCACCAAGUCUGUUGUCAAAGGGUGGGGCUUAACCUCAUAAAGGCAGUGGAAACUGGUGAGCUAGAGUGCGGUAGGGGUAAGGGGAAUUCCCAGUGUAGCGGUGAAAUGCGUAGAGAUUGGGAAGAACAUCGGUGGCGAAAGCGCCUUACUGGGCCUGCACUGACACUGAGGGACGAAAGCCAGGGGAGCGAAAGGG